UACGUAGGGGGCGAGCGUUGUCCGGAUUCAUUGGGCGUAAAGAGCUCGUAGGCGGCUUGGCAAGUCGGAUGUGAAAACUCCAGGCUCAACCUGGAGCCGCCAUUCGAUACUGCUAUGGCUAGAGUCCGGUAGGGGAGUGUGGAAUUCCCGGUGUAGCGGUGAAAUGCGCAGAUAUCAGGAGGAACACCGGUGGCGAAGGCGGGUCUCUGGGCCGAUGACUGACGCUGAGGAGCGAAAGCGUGGGGAGCGAACAGG
rnacentral:rRNA from 1 species